CGUGGGUCACCAUUGCAGACUCAUCAUCCAUUAUAUCUGGGGGUAUCUCCACUUCCAUGUAGCCUUUCUGAAAAUAUAACGAGAGAAACUGGGUGCCAGUGGCCUCCUUCUGCGACCAUGGAAUCUUUAUGCAGAGAUAGGUAAAGAAAACGUCGCGGCCCUGGACCACAGUGUGAUUCUCCAAGGGGGCUAGGAACUCUGGAAGUAUCUCCGGAGUUAUUUGACCUGAAAGAGAAUUCGUUAGAAAAUAGUUCCUGCCCCCAUAUGCACGAAUAAGCAGCGCUGUCGAUUAGAUAUUCAAGUUUUCUAUGGAGCUGAAUUCCAGCCUGCCUUCCAUCGAUUCACUAUGGAAGAGACAGAGCCUCCCAACGUCCAGGGUGCUUUCCGAGAAAUCAACGAAUCUGCGAGGAACAGGAGGAGGAGGAGGAGGAGGAGGAGGAUGAGGAGGAGGAGGAUAGACGAAAAUCAAUCAGUUUACGUAACAUUGCUCCGACUGAUUACCACUCAUUCCACGAGACGGUGAAUUCCCCGCGAAGAAAGCAUCGAGGUGUGCAACGAGGUUCUCUGCCGAUCUCGACCACUUUCUAUGCUGGGGGAGUGGCAAUCGAUCGGAGAGGAGGGCUGCAACGGGAAUCAAGAGGAUCGAGGAUGGCUCACUUGGCAAAGGCGAGGCAAGUGCUGGGAAUCGCGUAAUUGCAGGAAAGGAUCUCAG